UAACACAUGCAAGUCGAGGGGCAUCAGGAAGAAAGCUUGCUUUCUUUGCUGGCGACCGGCGCACGGGUGAGUAACACGUAUCCAACCUGCCCUUUACUCGGGGAUAGCCUUUCGAAAGAAAGAUUAAUACCCGAUGGGAUAAUCAUUCCGCAUGGUUUGAUUAUUAAAGGAUUCCGGUAAAGGAUGGGGAUGCGUUCCAUUAGGUUGUUGGUGAGGUAACGGCCCACCAAGCCUUCGAUGGAUAGGGGUUCUGAGAGGAAGGUCCCCCACAUUGGAACUGAGACACGGUCCAAACUCCUACGGGAGGCAGCAGUGAGGAAUAUUGGUCAAUGGGCGCGAGCCUGAACCAGCCAAGUAGCGUGAAGGAUGACUGCCCUAUGGGUUGUAAACUUCUUUUAUAUUAGAAUAAAGUGCAGUAUGUAUACUGUUUUGUAUGUAUAAUAUGAAUAAGGAUCAGCUAACUCCGUGCCAGCAGCCGCGGUAAUACGGAGGAUCCGAGCGUUAUCCGGAUUUAUUGGGUUUAAAGGGAGCGUAGGUGGACUGGUAAGUCAGUUGUGAAAGUUUGCGGCUCAACCGUAAAAUUGCAGUUGAUACUGUCAGUCUUGAGUACAGUAGAGGUGGGCGGAAUUCGUGGUGUAGCGGUGAAAUGCUUAGAUAUCACGAAGACUCCGAUUGCGAAGGCAGCUCACUGGACUGCAACUGACACUGAUGCU
rnacentral:rRNA from 1 species